AGCAGGAAUCAGACCUACCACUCAAAGCACUCUAUUGUGGAUAUAAGCUGUGCUUCUGCUAGGAGGAUUUGCCAAAACAGAUAUACUGGCAAAGCAGCUAAGGUGAGAGAAAGCCAAGAAUUCCUAAGUUGUCUGUGACAUACUGCCUUCGUCACUGGACACCCUGCCACUGAUGGGGACCAGCUCCUGCCUUUUGCUCACCACUACAAAUGCCACUGCCUUGAGAAUUACUGACAUUGUCACUGAGGGGGCUAUAGUUGUAUUAUGGAGAAAUCAAGAACUCAGAGCCAAUUCAUCUGUUUUGCUCUCCUGGGAACAGUAAUGUUUAUUUUGAAAGGAAUCUUUCAGUGAUGUUUUCCAAUUAAAAAAAAACAACAACCUGAAAUAAUUCUUAUCUUG